CGUAGGUGGCAAGCGUUGUCCGGAAUUAUUGGGCGUAAAGGGCGCGUAGGCGGUCCCUUAAGUCAGAUGUGAAAUCCCGAGGCUUAACCUCGGGCGUGCAUUUGAAACUGGGGGACUAGAGUGCAGGAGAGGUAAGUGGAAUUCCUAGUGUAGCGGUGAAAUGCGUAGAUAUUAGGAGGAACACCAGUGGCGAAGGCGACUUACUGGACUGUAACUGACGCUGAGGCGCGAAAGCGUGGGGAGCAAACAGGAUUAGAUACCCUGGUAGUCCACGCUGUAAACGAUGGAUACUAGGUGUGGGAGGUAUCGACCCCUUCCGUGCCGCAGUAAACGCAAUAAGUAUCCCGCCGGGGGAGUACGGCCGCAAGGUUG
rnacentral:rRNA from 1 species